GACAGAGGGUGCAAACGUUGUUCGGAAUUACUGGGCGUAAAGCGCGUGUAGGCGGCCAUCUAAGUCGGGCGUGAAAUCCCACGGCUCAACCGUGGAAGUGCACUCGAAACUGGAUGGCUAGAGUCCUGGAGAGGAAGGUGGAAUGCUUGGUGUAGAGGUGAAAUUCGUAGAUAUCAAGCGGAACACCGGUGGCGAAGGCGGCCUUCUGGACAGUGACUGACGCUGAGACGGCGAAAAG
rnacentral:rRNA from 1 species